AGGAAAAAUACCGGGCUCCAUUUAAGACGUCUGAUGUUCAUAAUGCCAAGAAUUAUUUAUUUGUAAUAAUGAUAGUUCCAAACGUAAAAGGAAAGCUCACUACAGGCAAAUGCCAUGGAAGGAUCCCAACUGUACCAGCACAGUCAUGCCAUGAGGAAGUUCAAACUAGCCACAUAGACAGAUUAUGGGGAAGCAGCUCAUCCCCUGCGGUUCCAGCCAUCUCUGCCAAGGUGCCAAAUAUAGUUGACAGGAAGCUGUGUUCCAGACACGUGUAGCCAAAAACACAGGGCUCCCUCUUACCCCGGCUCCCAGGCUCCAGCUAUAAAAUCUCUGCAGGAGGGCAGGUCACCAGCAUUUGUAUCCUGCCAAAUUCUGUGUUGCAGAAGCUCCUCAG